AAUUUUGUACAAUGGGGGAAACCCUGAUCUAGCCAUCCCGCGUGUAUGAUGAAGGCCUNAGGUUUNUNAAGUACUUUUGGAUGAGNCGAAAAGGCAUCCCCUAAUACGGGAUGCUGCUGACGGUAUCUGCAGAAUAAGCACCGGCUAACUACGUCCCAGCAGCCGCGGUAAUACGUAGGGUUCAAGCGUUAAUCGGAAUUACUGGGCGUAAAGCGUGUGUAGGCGGUUCGGAAAGGAAGAUGUGAAAUCCCAGGGCUCAGCCGUGGAACUGCAUUUUUAACAGCCGAGCUAGAGAUUGUCAGAGGGGGGUAGAAUUCCACGUGUAGCAGUGAAAUGCGUAGAUAUGUGGAGGAAUACCGAUGGCGAAGGCAGCCCCCUGGGAUAAUACUGACGCUCAGACACGAAAGCGUGGGGAGCAAACAGG
rnacentral:rRNA from 1 species